AUCAUGAACUGAGGCCUCAGUGCAAUAGCUCAUGAGGAAAUGAAUUAUUUCAACAGCCAGGGUUGCUCUGAAGACUAAAGCCCUGGGAUCAUUCAUUUUAAAAGAAAAGAACGGUGACUCAUCAUUUCAAGCUUUUCAUUCUGGAAGUUGGAAGUACAAGAUCAGAUUGCCAGCAUCAUCAGAUUUGAUAUCAAAGUAAUGUCAAGUGCUUCUGACCCACUGCAUUAAACGUGUGCUGAGCAGUUGGUGGUAGAAGACAUUAUUGUGAAGGCUGCUCACCACCAAUUUCAUCACUGUUGCUAACUCCAGCUCAUCUAAUCUCUGCAACAUCUGCUACCAGCACCUUCUCUUGCCUCCUUUUGUGAACAUAGUUUUUUCUUCUGGUUAGAAAAUCAGUUCGAACUUCUUGAGUUUUGUGUUUUAAACUCUUCUCAACUGUUCCGAUGAUUGAUGGAUGGCCCAGAGGCGACCUCUUUAUCUCCAGCAACAUAUUUGGCUGUUGGCCCGGUAGAGAGGUACUCCAGAAGCUUGCUGGUUCAUCAUGCUCUCAUCUUUAACCACAACUAUUUAUCUGACUCCUUCCAUCUCCACAGCACUGUGUGAGGGAUCAGUGAUAAGAGACGGUGAAAGACAUGCGCAAAUGGAUAAAUAAUAAGCA
rnacentral:lncRNA from 1 species